CUCUCUGUCAAAAAACAGAACAACAAAGCAAAAAAAGCAAAAUUAGCUACACUAAUAAAAUCAAAGAAAUCAGUAGCCUGACAGGAAAAUAAAAAGUAGAUAACGGAAUACGUGAGUGCAAACCAAGUUCUGAGACCUUGUACUUCCCACUCAGACAUCUCUCAGUUACCUGCCAGCGUUUAUUAUCACCUUCAAGUUCUUAAUAGCACGUGCAUUUAUAUACACACCCCCCCAUCACAAUAAAGUUGAACCAACAGACAUGAACAACAGUGUAAGUUUUAACUUCUACUUCUUCCCUUUUUUGGCACGAGAAAUGCUGCUGAACGUUCUCAGCUGGAAAAGACCACUGAAAAUUUCCAUUCUAAAGAAUUGUCACUGUGUGUGAAGUCCAAGAUUUCAUUCCCAAAUGUGCCGAGCAAUCAGCUCCAGCUAAAUCCAUGCACUUUGGUGGCAUCGCUGCAGAUCUCCUGCCACCCAGGCAGCUUGGAUUUCAGGAAGUCCGCACACUGCAUCCAAGUUUAAAAAGCUCAGCCUGAGACUUCUCUAAGGAAUCUAAUUUGCUUCUGUGUUCAGUUUGGUACCUCUUUAAAGUUGCCUGCAAUCAAAGCAUUCAAACAUCUCAGUGCACUCAGCCCC